rnacentral:rRNA from 1 species
UACGGGGGGGGUAAGCGUUGUUCGGAAUUACUGGGCGUAAAGGGCUCGUAGGCGGCCAACUAAGUCAUACGUGAAAUCCCUCAGCUUAACUGGAGAAGUGCCCCGGAUACUGGCUGCCUCGAGGAGGGUAGGGGCAUCUGGAACUAGCGGUGGAGCGGUGAAAUGCGUUGAUAUCGCUAGGAACUCCGGUGGCGAAGGCGAGGUGCUGGACCCUUUCUGACGCUGAGGCGCGAAAGCCAGGGGAGCGAACGGG